UUUGUAUUCCUUCCGUCUGGAACUACUUAUCAUUAAAAUAGAUAAAAAGAGAUGUAUCUGAACAUAUUUUAGUUCUAGAUACAUCUCUUUUUAUCCUUUUUAAUGACAAGUAUUUUCAAACGGAAGGAGUACAAC
rfam:Triticum aestivum genome assembly, contig: Triticum_aestivum_CS42_TGACv1_scaffold_030468_1BL